rnacentral:rRNA from 1 species
UACAGAGGUGGCAAGCGUUGUUCGGAAUUACUGGGCGUAAAGGGCUCGUAGGCGGCCAACUAAGUCGGAUGUGAAAUCCCCAGGCUUAACUUGGGAACUGCAUCCGAUACUGGAUGGCUUGAAUCCGGGAGAGGGAUGCGGAAUUCCAGGUGUAGCGGUGAAAUGCGUAGAUAUCUGGAGGAACACCGGUGGCGAAGGCGGCAUCCUGGACCGGCAUUGACGCUGAGGAGCGAAAGCCAGGGGAGCAAACGGG